rnacentral:piRNA from 1 species
UAGAGACUUCUUGAGGAAUGUGUGCAAGC